rnacentral:rRNA from 1 species
AUUGAACGCUGGCGGCAGGCCUAACACAUGCAAGUCGCACGAGUGGCGGACGGGUGAGUAAUGUAUGGGAAACUGCCUGAUGGAGGGGGAUAACUACUGGACACGGUAGCUAAUACCGCAUACCAUCAGAUGUGCCCAGAUGGGAUUAGCUAGUUGGUGGGGUAACGGCUCCCAAAGGCGCCGAUCCCUAGCUGGUCUGCGCGGAUGACCAGCCAAACUGGAACUGGGACGCGGCCCAGACUCCUACGGGAGGCAGCAGUGGGGAAUAUUGCACAAUGGGCGCAAGCCUGAUGCAGCCAGGCCGCGUGGAUGAAGAAGGCCUUCGGGUUGUAAAGUACUUUCAGCGGGGAGGCGUUACCCGCAGAAGAAGCACCGGCUAACUCCGUGCCAGCAGCCGCGGUAAGAC